rnacentral:misc_RNA from 1 species
UUAGGCCUAUUACAACAAUUUCUGUUUGUACAAAUUGUAGGUAUAAUAGCGGAAAGUGAGGUGAUUAAACUAAAGUAUGGUUAGGUAUAAUACACGUUCAUAUUUCUUUCAAUUUUAAGAAAAUGGCAAAUACCGUUGCUCAUUCACUGCUGUACUGUUUUAAAAUAAAGGUGUUUGAAGCAGUAAAGAUGGUUCCUUCUAUGGAUCACAAUAAUAGAAUAGAGGCAGUUACUUUUUGGAACAGUUUAUCAGAAAAUCUUGAAGAGAUAAUAAACAACAAUUCUGAGAAGAUAGCAACCAUAAUUUUGUCAUUGGAAGAAGAUCUUGCAAAACAAAUGCACUCCAUAUCUGGUUGCUUACUAGGAACAACUUCAACAUCUUGUUUUGAAAAACUAGGAAAUUCAGCUCACUUGGUGAACAAAGAAGACAGGCUGUUCCCAAAGAGUGAGUCUUUGUCUCUAGGUGUGUGUAAAACUUCUUACUCUGUGUCACCUGGAAAAUAUUCUGCUUCCACGCAAACCUCUGUGUCUUUGUUGCCGAAAACUUGUAAUUUCUUAGGCAAUCCUCAAAAACAGAAUUCAACUCUAUUGAAUGAUAAAAAAACAGUAUCAAACCAAGAAAUUAAAUCUCUAAAAUGCAAUAAUGUUUUACCAGUACUAACUUCAAAAUGUAACACUUCACCACAGAAUUCCUCCAGUUCAAAAUAUUCUUCUUCAGUGAACUUGAAUCAAACAUAUACUUCAUUUCAGAAUAUAUGUAAUUUUACUUCUUUAAAAUUCUCCAAUUCUCCAGAAACAAAUAUAAAAAUGAACUGUAAUACUACACCAUUAAACUCAUCUGUAUUAUUAACAAAUUCUGGAGUGAAAUGUGACACUUCAUCAUUGAACUCCUUUGAAGCUGAAAUAACUUCUGAGGUGAAAUGUGACACUACAUCACUGAACUCAUCUGAAGCUGAAUCAAAACAUUCUGGAGUGAAAUGUGACACUAUACAAGUAAACUCAUCUAAAGCUGCAUCAAAACAUUCUGGAGUGAAAUGUGACACUAUACCAGUAAACUCAUCUGAAGCUGCUUCAAAAAGUUCUGGAGUGAAAUGUGACUCUAUACCAGUAAACUCAUCUGAAGGUGCUUUAAAAAGUUCUGGAGUGAAAUGUGACACUAUACCAGUAAACUCAUCUGAAGCUGCUUCAAAAAGUUCUGGAGUGAAAUGUGACACUAUACCAGUGAACUCAUCUGAAGCUGCAUCAAAACAUUCUGGAGUGAAAUGUGACACUAUAUCAGUAAAUUCAUCUGAAGCUGCUUCAAAAAGUUCUGGAGUGAAAUGUGACACUAUACCAGUGAACUCAUCUGAAGCUGCAUCAAAACAUUCUGGAGUGAAAUGUGACACUAUAUCAGUAAAUUCAUCUGAAGCUGCUUCAAAAAGUUCUGGAGUGAAAUGUGACACUAUACAAGUAAAUUCAUCUGAAGCUGCUUCAAAAAGUUCUGGAGUGAAAUGUGACACUAUACCAGUAAACUUAACUGAAGCUGCAUCAAAAAAUUCUGGAGUGAAAUGUGACACUAUACAAGUAAAUUCAUCUGAAGCUGCUUCAAAAAGUUCUGGAGUGAAAUGUGACACUGUACCAGUGAACUUAUCUGAAGCUGCUUCAAAAAGUUCUGGAGUGAAAUGUGACACUAUACAAGUAAAUUCAUCUGAAGCUGCUUCAAAAAGUUCUGGAGUGAAAUGUGACACUAUACAAGUAAACUCAUCUGAAGCUGCUUCAAAAAGUUCUGGAGUGAACUGUGACACUACACCGCUAAACUCAUCUGAAGCUGCAUCAACAACUGCUGUAGUGAACUGUGACAGCAUGUCAUUGAACUUAUCUGAACAAGCAUCAACAAAUUUUGAAGUGAAAUGUGACACUACACCAAUAAUCUCAACUGAAGCUGUAUCAACAAAUUCUGUAGUGAAAUGUGACACUACACUAUUAAACUUUUCUGAAGCUGAGCCAACAAAUUUUGCAGUGACCUGUUUGUCACCAUUCAACUCCUGUGAUACUACACAAGCAAAUUCUGUAAUAAAUUGUAAGAACACUAAAAGAAACACUUCUGAAGCUGAAUCUGUAAAUGAUGUAGUGGAUUGUAACAAAAUGCCAUCAAACUUUAAUUAUGCACGAACACGUCCAUUAAUAGUGAAAUGUGUUGCUGCUUCAAACUCUUCCAAGAUUCCAGAAAGAAAAGCAGGAGAUUUGGAAUGUAGUUCCACAUCAUUGAUGAAAUAUUCAGAAGUCCAAGAAGUCUUGACAUUGUCUUCUCUGAAAGUCCAUAAACCUUCUUUGGUUGUUUUGUCUCUUGAUUCAACAAGACAGCCAAGUAAUUGCAAGGAUCAACUAUGUAAAACUGGAUAUGAACUUAAGGGUCAAGAUUUAAUAACAGAAUAUGAUGAAGAUGAUGACCAUUAUAUGGAGAGUAUACAAGAUGCUUUGAGUUGUUACUCAUAUUCUAGUUAUUCUCACAGAAGAGUCUCGUUAGAAGCUGAUAAUGUGGAAAAGGAAGAUAAUAAUUAUUUAAGUCCUCCACUCAAGAAAAGGCUGAAAAAAGACUUGGCCAAGUGUCCUCACUGUUCAAAAGAGUUCUAUAACAAAACUAGAUUUUGGGACCAUGUAAGACAACAUACAGGAGAAAAACCUUUCAAAUGUUAUGUAUGUGAGAAAUCUUUUUUCUCAUCGUCCACAUUGAAAUCGCACAUGACUCAGCACAAGGAGAAAGAAUAUCUUUGUAAGUUGUGUAACAACAGUCCUCGGACACGAGAACAGCUGAUGACCCAUAUGUAUCAGAAACACAGUGUACCAAUGUAUGAAUGUCACUUUUGUAAAAAGAGAUUUGGUGGAAAAAGAGACCUAAGAUCCCACACUAAGAUGCUGCAUCCUGAAAGGCUUAAGGAAACGUGGUCAUGUGAUGUCUGUGGAAAGAUACUAAGAAGUAGAGUAGGAUUUACCAAACACAUGGAAUUACAUGAUGACAAAGAAUAUGAAUGUGAAUUUUGUGGAAAGAAGUUUCAAACAUCAGCUGGCCACCGUGAACACCAUAAACUUCACUUAACAAAGAAAGUGGUACGAAAAUAUGAACGAAGAUCCAUAGAACAGAAAGAAAAUGAUGCAAAGAAAAAAGAAACACCAUCAGUGUACCCAUGUUUAUGGUGUCCCAAGAAGUUUUCAAGAAGACUUUUAUUAGAUGAGCAUGAAAAAGAACAUGAAGAUAAGGAAAUAAAAAACAGCUCUGACCAGGGGAAUGGAAAACCUACACGACAGUGUCCAUACUGUGAAAAGUGUUUUCAUGCUAGAUUUAGUUUAAGAAUUCACCUAAGAGUACAUACAGGAGAGAAACCCUACAGGUGUGACAUAUGUAACCAGGGUUUUACUCAGGCAGGAAAUUUGAAACGUCACAAGGAGGUACAUCUGGAAGAAAAGACAUUUAUUUGUGAAUAUUGUGGACUGGCUUUCCAACAAAACUCUUCUUUGAAAGCUCACCUUGUCAAACACACAGCUAUUCCAAUGUAUCAGUGCAAUCAGUGUCCAGCAAGGUUCUAUAAGAAAGGUAGCUGUCUAUCUUAACAAAGCCCAACAAAUGUCAACAAAGUGGGUUUUUGAAAAAUUAUCACCAUUAUCAGUGCCCAUUAACUGCUGUGGAAAGAUUAGUGGCAGCCUAGAAAGACAUAUGUGUAGACACACUGAUGAUCGUCCACACAUAUGUAACAUUUGUUUUAAAGCCCACAAAACCAAACAGGGUU